GUGUCAGCAGCCGCGGUAAUACGGAGGAUGCAAGCGUUGUCCGGAUUCAUUGGGUUUAAAGGGUGCGUAGGCGGAGAAUUAAGUCAGUGGUGAAAGCUCGCAGCUUAACUGUGAAAAUGCCAUUGAAACUGAUUUUCUUGAGUUCGAUUGAGGUAGAUGGAAUGUAUCAUGUAGCGGUGAAAUGCUUAGAUAUGAUACAGAACACCAAUUGCGAAGGCAGUCUACUAAGUCGAUACUGACGCUGAGGCACGAAAGCAUGGGGAGCAAACAGGAUUAGAAACCCCAGUAGUCC
rnacentral:rRNA from 1 species